rnacentral:rRNA from 1 species
AUUGAACGCUGGCGGCAGGCUUAACACAUGCAAGUCGAGCGAGCGGCGGACGGGUGAGUAAUGUCUGGGACACUGCCUGAUGGAGGGGGAUAACUACUGGAAACGGUAGCUACUACCGCAUACCAUCAGAUGUGCCCCGAUGGGAUUAGCUAGUAGGUGGGGUAAUGGCUCACCUCGGCGACGCGCCCUAGCUGGUAUGAGAGGAUGACCAGCCACACUGGAACUGAUCCACGGUCCAUACGCCUACGGUAGGCAGCAGUGGGGAAUAUUGCACAAUGGGCGCAAGCCUGAUGCAGCCAUGCCGCGUGUGUGAAGAAGGCCUUCGGGUUGUAAAGCACUUUCAGCGAGGAGGCGUUACUCGCAGAAGAAGCACCGGCUAACUCCGUGCCAGCCGCCGCGGUAAUUC